rnacentral:misc_RNA from 1 species
GAAAUGCGAUAAGUAGUGUGAAUUGCAGAAUUCAGUGAAUCAUCGAAUCUUUGAACGCACAUUGCGCCCCUUGGUAUUCCAUGGGGCAUGCCUGUUCGAGCGUCAUUUGUACCCUCAAGCUCUGCUUGGUGUUGGGUGUUUGUCCCGUCUCCGCGCGUGGACUCGCCCCAAAGUGAUUGGCAGCCGGCGUACUGGUCCCGGAGCGCAGCACAUGUCGCGCAAACGAGUGCCUUGGAACGGCGGCGUCCAUAAGCCCCUCUCUCACGCUCUUGACCUCGGAUCAGGUAGGGAUACCCGCUGAACUUAAGC